rnacentral:rRNA from 1 species
UACGUAGGUGGCAAGCGUUUUCCGGAUUUACUGGGCGUAAAGCGCGCGCAGGUGGCCUGUCGCGUCCGAGGUGAAAUCUCCCGGCUCAACUGGGAGGGGUCUUCGGAUACGGGCAGGCUUGAGGAGAGCAGAGGUAGGCGGAAUUCUGGGUGUAGUGGUGAAAUGCGUAGAUAUCCAGAGGAACACCAGUGGCGAAGGCGGCCUACUGGGCUCCACCUGACACUGAGGCGCGAAAGCGUGGGGAGCGAACCGG